AUUGAACGCUGGCGGAAUGCUUUACACAUGCAAGUCGAGCGGCAGCGCGGCCUUCGGGCUGGCGGCGAGCGGCGAACGGGUGAGUAAUGCAUCGGAACAUGCCCAGUCGUGGGGGAUAACACUUCGAAAGAAGUGCUAAUACCGCAUACGUCCUGAGGGGGAAAGCGGGGGAUCGCAAGACCUCGCGUGAUUGGAGUGGCCGAUGUCAGAUUAGCUAGUUGGUGGGGUAAAGGCCUACCAAGGCGACGAUCUGUAGCUGGUCUGAGAGGAUGAUCAGCCACACUGGGACUGGGACACGGCCCAGACUCCUACGGGAGGCAGCAGUGGGGAAUUUUGGACAAUGGGGGCAACCCUGAUCCAGCCAUUCCGCGUGAGCGAAGAAGGCCUUCGGGUUGUAAAGCUCUUUCGGCAGGAACGAAACGGUGGGCUCUAACAUAGUCCGCUAAUGACGGUACCUGAAGAAGAAGCACCGGCUAACUACGUG
rnacentral:rRNA from 1 species